rnacentral:rRNA from 1 species
GUUGCAUAACGAGAAGUUGAAAGGCGGCUUUUAGCUGUCACUUACAGAUGGGCCCGCGGCGCAUUAGCUAGUUGGUAAGGUAACGGCUUACCAAGGCGACGAUGCGUAGCCGACCUGAGAGGGUGAUCGGCCACACUGGGACUGAGACACGGCCCAGACUCCUACGGGAGGCAGCAGUAGGGAAUCUUCCGCAAUGGACGAAAGUCUGACGGAGCAACGCCGCGUGAGUGAUGAAGGUUUUCGGAUCGUAAAACUCUGUUGUCAGGGAAGAACAAGUGCCGUUCAAAUAGGGCGGCACCUUGACGGUACCUGACCAGAAAGCCCCGGCUAACUACGUGCCAGCAGCCGCGGUAAUACGUAGGGGGCAAGCGUUGUCCGGAAUUAUUGGGCGUAAAGCGCGCGCAGGCGGUCCUUUAAGUCUGAUGUGAAAGCCCACGGCUUAACCGUGGAGGGCCAUUGGAAACUGGAGGACUUGAGUACAGAAGAGGAGAGUGGAAUUCCACGUGUAGCGGUGAAAUGCGUANAGAUGUGNAGGAACACCAGUGGCGAAGGCGACUCUCUGGUCUGUAACUGACGCUGANGUGCGAAAGCGUGNGGAGCGAACAGGAUUAGAUAC